rnacentral:lncRNA from 1 species
AGAAAGAGAGAAUUAAAAUGCACUUGGCCGUGAGAUUGGAUGGUUGCAACAUUGCAAUUGUGUGGAGAAUUGGUCAUUUUGCUUCUUUCUUUGUUUGUUCCUUUCAUUAAAUGAGGGAAGAGGAAGUGUGAGUGGGGUAUAGUAUUUUAUUAUGUGUGUGCAUGAGUUUUGGAAAGAGAAAGUGUAAAGUUGAGCUCUCUUUUACGUGUGAAAAUGCUGUAGCAUAGGUGUGCAUUUUCUUUGGUUUGCUUUGCUUUUUGUUGUUUUGUAUGCAUGGUUUGAGAGAGCAAAAAAAUUAAAGAAAUGUUUGAUUGCAUUGCUAUAACCGAAAACGUUCCAGGGGGAAAAGUUUUAUUUCUCAUUUGCUUCUUCUCUUCACUUACUUUUUAUAAUACAUGGUUCAUAUGUAUUUCUCCGCUUUGCAUGGGUUGGGACACAUGUUUUCUAGACUUAGGAAGCUUGUAAGUGAUCUUGGAGUUCUUUGGGGAGGUUAACCAUUAAAUUAAAAAUUGUAGGCUACAUAAAUGGGUUAUAGAGGCACUUUAACACACUUUAUGCCUAUCAUUUACACACAUUACAGUAAGGUUUUAUUGGUGUUAAUGUGGAGUUAGGAAUGGGAAAAAUCUGAAAUGAGUUGGGUAGGAUGCCUUUGGAAGUGACCUUGAAUGGUUGGUUAAGGGUUAGAAAGGUUAGGGUUGGUUCCACUUAAGUUUGUAAUUUUAAGUUAGUUAGGUGGCAUUACAAACUUUUUUUGGAGAGUGAAAAAGAGAGAGCAUGAGUUGUUUUGGAGAGGCACAUUUGGUGAGAGAAAGAGAGUUAAAACUCUAGCAUUUGGACGUGACUUAGAGAAGGAGAGCUUAGAAGAUUGAAGCUUGAUGUGUCUAAUGAAGGAAAGAAAGAAGAAAGAAGAAGCUUGGUGUCAUGGGAGGAAGAAGAACAAGAAGGAAGAAUUAUGGAAGUGGAAGGAGGAGAUGGGUACACUACAAAUUACCUAGUAAAAAGAGAAGAGUUGGGAGUUUGGAGUUGGAGUUGAGAAAGAGAACAAAGUGGAAGGGGUGGUUGUUAAAUGGUAGUCAAGUGUACCUAAUUGUAUCAAGUAAUAAUAAAUGGUUAGACUAAGUAUCGUUUCCCAAGAGACUCGUGUUACUAAACAAUUGUGUAAUACCUUAACUAAUUAAGACUAAAAAGUUAUUCCAAUGGUUGAAAUUAAAAUGCAAUAAAAGUAAAUAUGAUAACAGAAUGUAAAAUUGA